GUAGGGCGCAAGCGUUAUCCGGAAUUAUUGGGCGUAAAGAGCUCGUAGGCGGUUUGUCGCGUCUGCCGUGAAAGUCCGGGGCUCAACUCCGGAUCUGCGGUGGGUACGGGCAGACUAGAGUGAUGUAGGGGAGACUGGAAUUCCUGGUGUAGCGGUGAAAUGCGCAGAUAUCAGGAGGAACACCGAUGGCGAAGGCAGGUCUCUGGGCAUUAACUGACGCUGAGGAGCGAAAGCAUGGGGAGCGAACAGG
rnacentral:rRNA from 1 species